rnacentral:rRNA from 1 species
AACGAACGCUGGCGGCAUGCCUAACACAUGCAAGUCGAACGAGACCUUCGGGUCUAGUGGCGCACGGGUGCGUAACGCGUGGGAACCUGCCCUUAGGUUCGGAAUAACUCCCCGAAAGGGGUGCUAAUACCGGAUAAUGUCUUCGGACCAAAGAUUUAUCGCCUUUGGAUGGGCCCGCGUUGGAUUAGCUAGUUGGUAGGGUAAAAGCCUACUAAGGCGACGAUCCAUAGCUGGUCUGAGAGGAUGAUCAGCCACACUGGGACUGAGACACGGCCCAGACUCCUACGGGAGGCAGCAGUGAGGAAUAUUGGACAAUGGGCGAAAGCCUGAUCCAGCAAUGCCGCGUGAGUGAUGAAGGCCUUAGGGUUGUAAAGCUCUUUUACCCGGGAUGAUAAUGACAGUACCGGGAGAAUAAGCUCCGGCUAACUCCGUG